GAUGAACGCUGGCGGCGUGCCUAAUACAUGCAAGUCGAGCGAACGGACGAGAAGCUUGCUUCUCUGAUGUUAGCGGCGGACGGGUGAGUAACACGUGGAUAACCUACCUAUAAGACUGGGAUAACUUCGGGAAACCGGAGCUAAUACCGGAUAAUAUUUUGAACCGCAUGGUUCAAAAGUAAAAGACGGUCUUGCUGUCACUUAUAGAUGGAUCCGCGCUGCAUUAGCUAGUUGGUAAGGUAACGGCUUACCAAGGCAACGAUGCAUAGCCGACCUGAGAGGGUGAUCGGCCACACUGGAACUGAGACACGGUCCAGACUCCUACGGGAGGCAGCAGUAGGGAAUCUUCCGCAAUGGGCGAAAGCUUGACGGAGCAACGCCGCGUGAGUGAUGAAGGUCUUCGGAUCGUAAAACUCUGUUAUUAGGGAAGAACAAAUGUGUAAGUAACUAUGCACGUCUUGACGGUACCUAAUCAGAAAGCCACGGCUAACUACGUG
rnacentral:rRNA from 1 species